rnacentral:rRNA from 1 species
AGAGUUUGAUCAUGGCUCAGGAUGAACGCUAGCGGCAGGCCUAAUACAUACAAGCCGAACGGCAAGAAUUGUAGCAAUACGAUUCCUAGAGUGGCGUAAGGGUGCGUAACACGUAUGCAAUCUACCCGCAACAGGAGGAUAGCUCCCCGAAAGGGGAAUUAACCCUCCAUGAGAUCACACGAGGGCAUCUGAGAGUGAUUAAAUCUGAGGAGGUUGCGGAUGAGCAUGCGUCUGAUUAGCUAGUUGGCAGUGUAACGGACUACCAAGGCGAUGAUCAGUAGGGGAACUGAGAGGUUGAUCCCCCACACUGGCACUGAGAUACGGGCCAGACUCCUACGGGAGGCAGCAGUAGGGAAUAUUGGACAAUGGGUGAGAGCCUGAUCCAGCCAUGCCGCGUGCAGGAAGAAGGCCUUCUGGGUUGUAAACUGCUUUUGCCAGGGGAUAAAAGACCCUUGCGAGGGAAAUUGAAGGUACCUGGUGAAUAAGCCACGGCUAACUACGUGCCAGCAGCCGCGGUAAUACGUAGGUGGCAAGCGUUGUCCGGAUUUAUUGGGUUUAAAGGGUGCGUAGGCGGUUUUUUAAGUCAGUGGUGAAAUACAGCCGCUUAACGGUUGAGGUGCCAUUGAUACUGGGAAACUUGAGUACAGACGAGGUAGGCGGAAUUGACGGUGUAGCGGUGAAAUGCAUAGAUAUCGUCAAGAACACCGAUAGCGAAGGCAGCUUACUAGACUGUAACUGACGCUGAUGCACGAAAGUGUGGGGAUCAAACAGGAUUAGAUACCCUAGUAGUCC